rnacentral:rRNA from 1 species
AUUGAACGCUGGCGGCAGGCCUAACACAUGCAAGUCGAGCGGAUGAAGGGAGCUUGCUCCUGGACUCAGCGGCGGACGGGUGAGUAAUGCCUAGGAAUCUGCCUGGUCGCGGGGGAUAACGUCCGGAAACGGGCGCUAAUACCGCAUACGUCCUGAGGUAGAAAUUGGGGGGUCUUCGGACCUCUCGCUAUCAGAUGAGACUAGGUCGGAUUAGCUAGUUGGUGGGGUAAAGGCUUACCAAGGCGACGAUCCGUAACUGGUCUGAGAGGAUGAUCAGUCACAUUGGAAGAGAGACACGGUCGAGACACCUGCGGUAGGAAGCAGUGGGGAAUAUUGGACGAUGGGCGAAAGCCUGAUCCAGCCAUGCCGCGUGUGGGAAGAAGGUGUUCGGAUUGUAGAGCACUGUAAGUUGGGGGGAAGUACAGUAAGUUCAUACCUUGCUGUAUUGACGGUACCAACAGAAUAAGCACCGGCUAACUUCGUG